AUACGGAGGGUGCAAGCGUUAAUCGGAAUUACUGGGCGUAAAGCGUACGUAGGCGGUUCGUUAAGUUAGAUGUGAAAGCCCCGGGCUUAACCUGGAACUGCAUUUAAAACUGGCGAACUAGAGUUGAGUAGAGGGGAGUGGAAUUUCAGGUGUAGCGGUGAAAUGCGUAGAGAUCUGAAGGAACACCAGUGGCGAAGGCGACUCCCUGGACUCGAACUGACGCUGAGGUACGAAAGCGUGGGUAGCAAACGGGAUUAGAAACCCCAGUAGUCC
rnacentral:rRNA from 1 species